UAAUGAUGGCAAAGAGGUCACACCUGUUCCCAUGCCGAACACAGAAGUUAAGCUCUUUAGCGCCGAUGGUAGUUGGGGGUUUCCCCCUGCGAGAGUAGGACGUUGCUA
rnacentral:rRNA from 1 species